rnacentral:rRNA from 1 species
GUGAGGAAUAUUGGUCAAUGGGCGAGAGCCUGAACCAGCCAAGUCGCGUGAAGGAAGAAGGAUCUAUGGUUCGUAAACUUCUUUUGCAGGGGAAUAAAGUGCGGGACGUGUCCUGUUUUGUAUGUACCCUGAGAAUAAGGAUCGGCUAACUCCGUGCCAGCAGCCGCGGUAAUACGGAGGAUCCGAGCGUUAUCCGGAUUUAUUGGGUUUAAAGGGUGCGUAGGUGGUUUGAUAAGUCAGCGGUGAAAGUUUGCAGCUUAACUGUAAAAAUGCCGUUGAAACUGUCGGACUUGAGUGUAAAUGAGGUAGGCGGAAUGCGUGGUGUAGCGGUGAAAUGCAUAGAUAUCACGCAGAACUCCGAUUGCGAAGGCAGCUUACUAAGCUACAACUGACACUGAAGCACGAAAGCGUGGCGAUCAAACAGGAUUAGAAACCCUUGUAGUCC